AAAGGUUUACCGCCUUGGGAUAGGCUUGCGUCUGAUUAGUUAGUUGGUGUGGUAACGGCACACCAAGGCUACGAUCAGUAACUGGUCUGAGAGGAUGAUCAGUCACACUGGAACUGAGACACGGUCCAGACUCCUACGGGAGGCAGCAGUGAGGAAUAAUUGGGCAAUGCUCGAAAGAGUGACCCAGCAACGCCGCGUGGAGGAUGAAGGUAUUCUAUAUCGUAAACUCCUGUGAGAGCAGACGAAAGACAGAUUAUUAAUCUGGAUGACUGUAUGCUCAGAGGAAGCCCCGGCUAACUACGUG
rnacentral:rRNA from 1 species